CCACACACAAGGAUUUGGGGGCCGCGAUGUAAAUCCCCAAGGGUGCAGACUUUGGGUUGUCGUCGGUGUUGCAUGUCAUUGAGGACAAGGACUACUUCAAGUGUGUGAGGGUGUGACGCCCCAAAGUUUUGGGGCCUGUCACUCGCCAAGAUUGUGCGUGCCAACUAGGCCGCAACCUUGUCAGCUAUGCAGGCGGCAUGUGCUGAGGGAAUAUGCUGAAGUCGAAGAUGAGGCAAAGGGGCAUAACAUGAGGAAAAA
rnacentral:lncRNA from 1 species